rnacentral:rRNA from 1 species
UCGAUCUCAAAUCAGGUAGGACUACCCGCUGAACUUAAGCAUAUCAAUAAGCGGAGGAAAAGAAACUAACAAGGAUUCCCCUAGUAACUGCGAGUGAAGCGGGAAAAGCUCAAAUUUAAAAUCUGGCGUGCCUCUGGCCGUCCGAGUUGUAGUCUGGAGAAGCGUCUUCCGUGUUGGACCGUGUAUAAGUCUCUUGGAACAGGGCGUCAUAGAGGGUGAGAAUCCCGUCUUUGACACGGACUACCAAUGCUUUGUGAUGCGCUCUCAAAGAGUCGAGUUGUUUGGGAAUGCAGCUCAAAAUGGGUGGUAAAUUCCAUCUAAAGCUAAAUAUNGGCGAGAGACCGAUAGCGAACCAGUACCGUGAGGGAAAGAUGAAAA